GGGCCCAGAGGGCAGCACUUGGUUGAAGUCGGGCAAGUUGGGCGAAGCAACGGUAUGUGAUUCGACGAAGCGCGUCCGCCAUUUUGAUGCGCGAAAGUGGGGGUAUGAGCAUUAAGCAUUUACCUUAUUUCACGUAAAAUCCGAAACAAAACUGAACUAAUUAGAGAAAAACGAAUCCCACUUGCUUGCUGCUUAAACGUGGUUCGUUUGGCUGUUAGGACGCAGCUAAAAGUGAAAGUGUUUGUGUUUACCGAAAUAAGAAAGCUCCCCAAGUUGCAACUCCUGAACAGCGUGGCCGAACGGGCUUCUCUUUGUUAAGGUUUCAAUUUCAUCUGCAAAUUUCAGAAUUCUACAUGCCGUACCAUGGAGUUCAACAUCAACCUCGCAGUAUAACUUGAGGAACUGCCUAGUGUCUGUUUAGCUAUAGGUUGGUUGGUGUCAGGACGGGGCCCGACUGCUAGUCAGGGGCGAAAGACCGCACCGCGGUCCAAGUUUUAGUGCGAGUGUUCCAUGUGCUCCGUUUAAGUUAAUUUUGCCGGGGUACAAAUCGGUGUUUUGUUAGUUGAAUUCGUAAAUGGACAAACGCAAAAUGUUGCCAAAAAGGCCUAGAUUCGAGCCGCGCGGACCCAUCGCUAACGGGCCGUUGCAAACCCGUCCUCUCGUUGCACUUCUAGAUGGCAGAGACUGUUCCAUAGAAAUGCCCAUCCUGAAAGACGUGGCUACUGUCGCGUUCUGUGAUGCACAAAGUACGAGUGAAAUUCACGAAAAGGUACUAAAUGAGGCGGUGGGAGCGCUAAUGUGGCACACAAUAAUUCUGACAAAAGAGGACCUGGAAAAGUUUAAAACUUUGCGAAUAAUCGUGCGUAUCGGGAGUGGAGUUGACAAUAUCGAUGUAAAAGCAGCAGGAGAACUAGGUAUAGCUGUUUGUAACGUACCUGGAUAUGGAGUAGAAGAAGUGGCUGACACUACAUUAUGCUUGAUUCUAAAUUUGUACAGGCGGACCUAUUGGCUUGCCAAUAUGGUCCGGGAAGGCAAGAAGUUUACCGGCCCGGAGCAAGUGCGGGAAGCCGCUCAGGGAUGCGCUAGGAUACGUGGUGAUACCUUAGGCAUCGUUGGGUUAGGUCGUAUUGGAUCUGCAGUAGCUCUGCGAGCAAAAGCCUUUGGAUUUAACGUGAUCUUUUACGAUCCAUAUUUGCCCGAUGGAAUAGAGAAGAGCUUGGGAUUAACCCGAGUUUAUACACUUCAAGAUCUGCUGUUCCAAUCCGAUUGUGUGUCUUUGCAUUGCACUCUAAAUGAGCACAAUCAUCAUCUGAUCAAUGAAUUUACAAUUAAACAGAUGCGACCAGGUGCAUUCUUGGUUAACACUGCAAGAGGUGGACUUGUGGAUGAUGAUUCCUUAGCCCAAGCGCUGAAACAAGGCCGUAUCAGAGCCGCUGCAUUAGAUGUUCACGAAAAUGAACCCUACAACGUAUUUACCGGCCCGCUAAAAGACGCCCCCAAUGUUCUGUGCACACCUCACGCUGCAUUCUAUAGUGAUGCUAGCGCCACUGAGCUUCGUGAGAUGGCGGCCAGCGAAAUUAGACGUGCAAUUAUGGGUCGAAUACCUGAUUGUCUCAGGAACUGCGUGAAUAAGGAAUACUUUAUGGGACCCGGCCAAUAUCCAGAAGCUUAGUGAUGGUUUAGAUGUUUGGUAGUUUAGGGAUUAGGGAUGUAUGAAACGAAAAGCAAAACAAGCAAUUUGUGUCUCCGGCGGGUGUAAAUGGAGGAUAUUACCCGGGCGCAGGAACACUUCCUGUGCAGCAAGC
rnacentral:misc_RNA from 1 species